AGUGUUUGAUCAUGGCUCAGGAUGAACGCUAGCUACAGGCUUAACACAUGCAAGUCGAGGGGCAGCAUUUUAGUUUGCUUGCAAACUAAAGAUGGCGACCGGCGCACGGGUGAGUAACACGUAUCCAACCUGCCGAUAACUCGGGGAUAGCCUUUCGAAAGAAAGAUUAAUAUCCGAUGGUAUAUUAAAACCGCAUGGUUUUACUAUUAAAGAAUUUCGGUUAUCGAUGGGGAUGCGUUCCAUUAGUUUGUUGGCGGGGUAACCGG
rnacentral:rRNA from 1 species